AAACAGCCACAUUCAUUCCAUUUUAUACUUACAUUAUAUCUUCUAAACAACAAUGAGAUAUCUGAAAUUAAAAAUCUAACUUAAAACUGAGCACUCUAAGCUAUGAUAAAUCUAUCUUCCAAGUCAAGCCUUCCAGCUCCCUUUCCAACCAGAUGAUGUUCUUGGAGGCAGGACACCUGUGACACUCUCAAAAGACAUAAUGAAUAUCCCUUCCUAUAGUGCUGAGUUUCAUUUUCUCUCUAGCUGCCUUGUUUCUUUCCUUGUUAUUUCAAAUAAUAAACUCUUACAUGGGAUUUGUUUUAAGCAAGAAUGGUAAGAAUCAGGAAUAAUUAGACACAUAGACACUGGCAUGAUGUCAUAAAAGAAGAAGUUCUAUUCACAGAGCGCUACAAAUAGGAAGUACAACACUUCAUGUAGGGCCAACAGAGAGCCAUCAUGGGCCAUCAUGGGCAAUCACAAGGCAGAGACAAGAGCUUAUACAGUGUUUUCCAUAGGAAGGAACUAGUGACAAGGAUCUAGUGGAUGUGAUAUGGAGGACCUACAGGGAGAGCAAGGUCGCCCACCACGUGGGAGCCCAGCUGCAGAGUCUGCACCAGCGCUGGAAGGGGAGGUGAGACAAAAACCUCAGUAACCCGAGACAUUGGUGGGGAAAGGCAGAAAGAGCCUAGAGGGAAUGAGGCCUGAAGCCCCGCUGGGGAAAGUUCAGCAGGCUGACUGGAGGAGAGAAAAAAAACGAAUAAAUAAGGGGAACCGGCAUGGACACUAGCAUCUCUCUCCAAUCACCUUACAAAGCUGAGCAAGACAAAGAGCAGGCGCCAUUUUGGACAUACAUAAAACGGCGCCCACCAUUAGCCAAGCAGAAAAACCUGAGUAUAGUGGGGAGAAAUAAAGGAGGUUAGGACCUAGUGAAAGUGUGGAGCUAACGAACUGAGACUGUGAAAAUCUGAGGGGGGGGGGGGCGAGAGAACUCACCGGGUACACAAACUCGGUAACCUUGGCAACCUGGUGAGAAACUGCGGGGAAAUUUGAGACCACACUGAGGACUGCAUAAACUCUUUGUGUGGUCCCAAAGGUAGAGCAGACAAAUACCCACAGGGGCCAGAUUUCAUACAUCAACUACCCUCAAUUCCACUCAGCUGUGUGAAAUUACUUCCCUUCUGAGUCAAGAAAAAAAAAAGAGAGAGAGGGAGAGAGCGAGAGAACAAUCUGGGUAAGUCACCUUUGGCACACCCCUAACCCUGAAGAACCAAACAGAGCUCUCUGGCCACACCCAUCACAGCCUCUAAAGAUCCAUCAAAAGCAGACAGUCUACUUAAUCUAGAGUCAUAGUAUAAUGAGAAAAAGCACCACAGUGAAGAAACCAAAGAAUAUCUCCACAAUGCCAAACAACAAAUGCAAAAACCGAGGUAACAACAACAAGGAAGUCACUGAUGCCCCCAAAUGAAAAAGACACCCAAUUCAAGAUUAUGAAGAUGAUGAGAUAGAAGAAAUGCAAGAAGCGGAUCUCAAAAAAUUGAUAAGAACAUUAAGAAGUCCUUAAAAACAAAUUCUUGAUCUACAGAAAUCCUUAAUGGACAAGAUAGAAAAUCUCUCUCAUGAAAAUGAAAUAUUAAGGAGGAAACAAAAUGAAAUGAAACAACUAGUAGAACAUGAAACUGUGAUAGUGACGAGAAAUCAUAAUGAAAUGAAGAAUUCAAUAGAUCAAGUGACAAACACAUUAGAGAGCCUUAAAAACAGAAUGGGUGAAGCAGAAGAGAGAAUAUCAGACUUAGAAGACACAGAACAGGAAAGGAUACAGUCAAACCAAAGAAAAGAAGAGGAAAUUAGAAAUCUAAAACAUAUUGUCGGGAAUCUUCAGGAUACUAUUAAAAAACCCAACAUUCGGUUGUAGGAGUUCCUGAAGGCAUGGAAAGGGAGAAAGGAUUAGAAGGCCUUUUUAGUGAGAUACUAGCAGAAAAUUUCCCAGGUUUGGAGAAGGACAGAGACAUCCUAGUACAGGAAGCUCAUAGAACACCUAAUAAACAUGACCAAAAGAGAUCCUCACCACGACAUGUUGUAAUUAAACUCACCACAGUGAAACAUAAAGAAACGAUCCUACAAUGUGCAAGAGAGAAACGUCAGAUUACUCUCAGAGGAUCUCCAAUUAGACUCACAGCUGACUUCUCAUCAGAAACCCUACAAGCUAGGAGGGAAUGGCGAGAUAUAGCCCCGGUACUAACAGAGGAAAAACUGCCAGCCCAGAAUGUUAUAUCCUUCAAAGCUCUCAUUUGUGAAUGAAGGUGAAAUAAAGACCUUUCAUAGCAAACAGAAAUUGAAAGAAUUGUCCAGCCCUGCAAAAAAAUGCUUAAAGAUGUGUUACACACAGAAACACAGAAACACAGCCAUCAAUAUGAAAGAAGGUAAAGGAAGAAAACCUACCAGUAAACGAUCAUAGGAAUCUCAAAGCAUAUAGUAGAAAAUAUCUUUGGGAAAAUGGCAGGGCAAAGUCAAUACUUAUCAAUAGUCACAUUGAACGUUAAUGGACUCAACUCUAUAGUUAAAAGGCACAGACUGGCUCAAUGGAUUAAGGAACAAAACCCAUCUAUUUGCUGCCUAAAGACAUCUUUCCAACAAAGAUGCAUACAGACUGAAAGUGAAAGGCUGGAAAAAGAUAUUCCAUGCCAACAGAAACCAAAAAAAAGCAGGUGUAGCCAUAUUAAUAUCAGACAAAAUAAACUUUAACACAAAAACUGUGAAGAGAGACAAAGAGGGACACUAUAUAAUGAUUAAGGGUUCAAUUCAACAGGAAGAUGUAACUAUUAUAAAUGUAUAUGCGCCUAAUUACAGCACACAGGUUUAUUUAAAAGGUAUGUUAAGGGACUUAAAGGGAGACUUAGAUUCCAAUACAAUAGUACUGGGGGACUUCAAUACUCCACUCUCAGAAAUAGACAGAUCAACAGGACAGAAGAUCAACAAGGAAACAGCAGAUUUAAUCAACACUAUUGCCCAAAUGGAUCUAACAGAUAUCUACAGAACUUUCAAUCCUACAUUUAAAGAUUUUACAUUCUUUUCAGGAGUGCAUGGAACCUUCUCUAGGAUGGACCACACACUAGGCCAUACAGCAAGUCUCAGCAAAUUUAAAAGAAUUAGAAUCAUAACAUGCAACUUCUCAGACCACAGUGGAAUGAAGUUGGAAAUUAGCAACUCAGGAAUCCCUAGAGAGUAUGCAAACACAUGGAGACUGAACAACAUGCUCCUGAAUGAACAAUGGGUCAUAGAAGAAAUCAAAAGAGAAAUCAAAAACUCUCUGGAAGUAAAUGAGGAUAACAACAUAACAUAUCAAAACUUAUGGGAUAUGGCAAAAGCAGUGUUGAGAGGUAAGUUUAUAGCAAUAGGUGGCUACAUCUAGAAAUUGGAAAGGCACCAAAGAGAUGAGCUUUCAAUUCAUCUCAAUGAUCUAGAAAAUAUGCAGCAAACCAGAACCAAAUCUAGUAGGAGAAGAGAAAUAAUUAAAAUCAGAGAAGAAAUCAACAGGAUUGAAUCCAAAAAAAAAAAAAAAACAUUACAAAAA